AAGUCGUAACAAGGUCUCCGUAGGUGAACCUGCGGAGGGAUCAUCUAGAAAUGAUAGAAAUAUGUAUGGCUAGUCCAUUCCCCUAUUGAAAGGUAGGGGGAGGAUGUGCCCAUAUGUAUGGAUAUAUGUGAUGGUGUUGCUAUAACAAUCUUGAAUUGGAGAUCAAGAGGGAAGGUUGUAUGUGGUAUGCUUGCAUGCUGCAUCUUUCCUCCUCCAUUCAUAUAUCUUAUGUUGCAUGAUGGAGUGUGUUUUGGGGAUAUAUGCUAUACAUGUCUCUUGAGAUGUGUGCGUGUAUACCCCUCACCAUCAAUCCAGGGCCUUGCAUACACAAAGUUUAUAACUUUUGGCAACGGAUCUCUUGGUUCUC
rnacentral:misc_RNA from 1 species